CGCCAGUUUUUUUUUUUUUUUUUAAACGAGCUCUGGCGGGUGAGCAAUUUGAACCACCGUCCAUUCCUUCUCCAAUUUCAACCAACGCUUUUGUGAGAUGGUUUGCCUUGCCUUCUAAUAGUUGAAGCUAUCAACAGUUUGCUGUGAAUUUGUUCCCAAUAAGUUUAUUUUGGGGUAAUUUUUUUUUGGGUAUUGCAAGAAGCAUCGAUGAAAAGGACAAAGUUUCGUUGGACGACGAAUCCGAGGGCUGUGACGAACAAACAAAACUGAAAGUGGGUUACUGAGUUUCUUGGAACUUUUGGAGGUAAAUGAUAAAUGGUGAAUGGUGAAAUUUGAGGGGUAUUCUGGGCUUGAAAUCAGAAUAAUCAAAAAAUAAAUUGGUUGGAUUUUGGAUUGAGCCUUUUGCGCAUUUUAUUUGUUGAAUUCUCAAUUUUGGUUUUGUAGAUUGAAGCAGAAAUAUUUAGGAAGAGAAUGGGAGACUAUUUCAGAUCGUAGGAGUCGGACAAGUGGCCGGCCGAAUUAGACCAAGGCCAUUAGGUAGGAUCGUAGCAUAGAUUUUGAAAAGUAAAUUUUGAAAAGAAAAAAAAGUUGCACUGCCGCUCGUCGGAAACGCAAAUCAAUGGAUAGUUUGUUUAGG
rnacentral:lncRNA from 1 species